rnacentral:rRNA from 1 species
UAGGGAAUAUUGGACAAUGGGGGGAACCCUGAUCCAACCAUGCCGCGUGGAGGAAGACUGCCCUCUGGGUUGUAAACUCCUUUUAUAUGGGAAGAACCGUCCUCAUUGAUGAGUGACCUGACGGUACCAUAGGAAUAAGCACCGGCUAACUCCGUGCCAGCAGCCGCGGUAAUACGGAGGGUGCAAGCGUUAUCCGGAUUCACUGGGUUUAAAGGGUGCGUAGGCGGAUAUGUAAGUCAGUGGUGAAAUCAACGGGCUCAACCUGUUAACUGCCAUUGAUACUGUGUAUCUUGAAUAUGAGAGAGGUAGGCGGAAGGUUGCAUGUAGCGGUGAAAUGCUUAGAUAUGCUACGGAACACCGAUUGCGAAGGCAGCUUACUAUUUCGUAAUUGACGCUGAGGCACGAAAGCGUGGGUAGCGAACA